UGACAAGUUACCAGUGACCCGGGCUGCAGAUGCCUCCUCGCUCCAACUCUUACCCUGCCAUGAAGUAAACAAUCACGUUAUUCUUUCGGUGGCAUUCUCUGAUGCCCACGUCAGACAGUUUGUUUAUCUACAACAAUAUGGGAGGAAUGCUGCUUCACGUGCUCACAGGGAAGAACACGUAACUCAACAUCCACAUUGCCGCAGGUCCUGUGCCCUUUGGGUCAUUCAACCUUCAAAGCAAGGUUUAAAGAGAAGAAGCCUUUACUCUGCCAAGGACACAGCCUUGAGAAAACUGAAAUGAAGAGCCUGGCUUCAGAAGACAGCUAAAGACUCUGCAGAACUCUGGAAAAAGAAUGAAAUGAAGAUAAGAUUAUAGGGAAAGAAAAAAGGACCUAAAGGACAUUGAGAAAGAAGAUUUCAAAACCAUUUUGGGAUGUCGUAGUCUUAAAGCACGGCCUGAUGAGCGGUGUACAGGUCCAAGCCAGGGAUCUGAACCAGUGAACCCCAGCCGCCGCGUAACGGCGCGUGCAAACUUAACCACUAUGCCACCGGGCAGACCCCAGGAAUAAUUUUUUUAAAAGUCUCUCAGCCAACACUACUCAAGGCCUUCAUGUCAACUAAUCCAAGUUCUCCAUCCUCCCUGGGAAACAUUGUGACUGAUGCUCAGGGCAUGCUGAACACUGGAGCCAGCGGUGCUGCUUGUACUCCACACAUUUCUGCUCCUACCAGUUAAGAUGUAUGCUUACCAACGGUUUCUUGUGUUUUUUUCCCCCAAAACAUGGUUAUUCCCAUUUAUGCUUAUUCUUGUAAUUACUUAAUUUAAUAUUGAGUAUAAUGAUGAAAUAUGAGUAAAAAAAGAAAUAGUUGUUAUUCUAUAAGAUCUAAAUGAAAAGAUGCCAUAUAAGCAAUCGCUG
rnacentral:lncRNA from 1 species